AUGCUCUGUUUGGUCUCUUCUUCGAACGUCCCCCUCGCCUUUUACUAGGGAGACCCGGGGACCAGGCAGGCUAAAGCAUGACUCCAAUCUUUCGUGAUCACCCUCGGGUGGGA
rnacentral:snRNA from 1 species